rnacentral:rRNA from 1 species
GACGAACGCUGGCGGCGUGCCUAAUACAUGCAAGUCGAGCGCUGAAGGUUGGUACUUGUACCAACUGGAUGAGCAGCGAACGGGUGAGUAACGCGUGGGGAAUCUGCCUUUGAGCGGGGGACAACAUUUGGAAACGAAUGCUAAUACCGCAUAAAAACUUUAAACACAAGUUUUAAGUUUGAAAGAUGCAAUUGCAUCACUCAAAGAUGAUCUCGCGUUGUAUUAGCUAGUUGGUGAGGUAAAGGCUCACCAAGGCGAUGAUACAUAGCCGACCUGAGAGGGUGAUCGGCCACAUUGGGACUGAGACACGGCCCAAACUCCUACGGGGGGCAGCAGUAGGGAAUCUUCGGCAAUGGACGAAAGUCUGACCGAGCAACGCCGCGGGAGUGAAGAAGGUUUUCGGGUCGGAAAACUCUGUUGGUAGGGAAGAACGUUGGUGAGAGUGGAAAGCUCAUCAAGUGACGGUAACUACCCAGAAAGGGACGGCUAACUACGUG